rnacentral:ncRNA from 1 species
CAAACAAUCUACUAGCUUUAUUGUUCCCUGCGAUUGGCUUCGGGCCUUUCCUACACAGCUCGAGUGCAAGUUAGAACCUAUAUGCCAAGGGACAGUCCCAAAUAGAUAGUUUCUAUGGGACAUAGGACCCCCAAAAGAUAACAUUACAUAGGCAUGCAAAGGUUUCCUCAAAUCAAACGGAGAUUGACCCUAGAGUGCAAAUGUAGAAGGGAGCUUUGACUGCAAGACCCACCCAUCAAGCACAGACAAUAGUCGGCCUCAAUGAUUCAAUGAUGCUGAGUGGAAGGGUCGUCACUGAACCAAUAAAAGUUACUUUAAGAAAACAUGCCGAUCGUCAUCAAGAGUUCACAUCUACAGGAAGGUUCAGCACCAUGAUGCCGGCUCUUUGCUACCUAGGAUUGUAGUAUGUUCCAAGAGUUGGGUUGAUCGCCCAUUAAAGCGGUGCAUGAACUGGGUUGCUAACCCAACAUUUUCAAUAGCAGGCUUUA